UACGUAGGGGGCAAGCGUUGUCCGGAAUCAUUGGGCGUAAAGAGCGUGUAGGCGGCUUGGUAAGUCCGCUGUGAAAGUCCAGGGCUCAACCCUGGAAAGCUGGUGGAAACUGUCAAGCUUGAGUCCGGAAGAGGCGAGUGGAAUUCCUGGUGUAGCGGUGAAAUGCGCAGAUAUCAGGAGGAACACCAAUGGCGAAGGCAGCUCGCUGGGACGGUACUGACGCUGAGACGCGAAAGCGUGGGGAGCAAACAGG
rnacentral:rRNA from 1 species